rnacentral:rRNA from 1 species
GAUGAACGCUAGCUACAGGCUUAACACAUGCAAGUCGAGGGGAAACGACAUCGCAAGCUUGCUUUUGAUGGGCGUCGACCGGCGCACGGGUGAGUAACGCGUAUCCAACCUGCCCAUCACUUGGGAAUAACCUUGCGAAAGUAAGACUAAUACCCAAUGAUAUCCCACGAAGGCAUCGGAAUGGGAUUAAAGAUUUAUCGGUGAUGGAUGGGGAUGCGUCUGAUUAGCUUGUUGGCGGGGUAACGGCCCACCAAGGCAACGAUCAGUAGGGGUUCUGAGAGGAAGGUCCCCCACAUUGGAACUGAGACACGGUCCAAACUCCUACGGGAGGCAGCAGUGAGGAAUAUUGGUCAAUGGGCGAGAGCCUGAACCAGCCAAGUAGCGUGCAGGAAGACGGCCCUAUGGGUUGUAAACUGCUUUUAUAAGGGAAUAAAGUGGGUCACGUGUGACUUUUUGCAUGUACCUUAUGAAUAAGGACCGGCUAAUUCCGUG